CCUACGGGAGGCAGCAGUGAGGAAUAUUGGUCAAUGGGCGGGAGCCUGAACCAGCCAAGCCGCGUGAAGGAAGAAGGUACUGAGUAUUGUAAACUUCUUUUGUCGGGGAACAAAGGCGGAGACGCGUCUCCGGAUGAGUGUACCCGAAGAAAAAGCAUCGGCUAACUCCGUGCCAGCAGCCGCGGUAAUACGGAGGAUGCGAGCGUUAUCCGGAUUUAUUGGGUUUAAAGGGUGCGCAGGCGGGCGAUCAAGUCAGCGGUAAAAUGCCGGGGCUCAACCCCGGCCGGCCGUUGAAACUGGUUGUCUAGAGUUGGAGAGAAGUAUGCGGAAGUCGCGGUGUAGCGGUGAAAUGCAGAGAUAUCGCGAAGAACCCCGAUUGCGAAGGCAGCAUACCGGCUCCAUACUGACGCUGAGGCGCGAAAGCGUGGGGAUCGAACAGGAUUAGAUACCCGUGUAGUC
rnacentral:rRNA from 1 species